rnacentral:ribozyme from 1 species
GCCAUCCUAAUAUGCUGCCUCUAAGUGGCGGAUGGCAGGCAACGAGGAGAUCUUUCGGCUAAAGCAUAU